rnacentral:lncRNA from 1 species
GAACGAACUUGCCGGGGUUUUUGGGAUGCGAUAUUCAUCACCGUUCCUCUUAAAACCGUUCAUAAUCACAUCUGAACUAGAUAUUCUGUUCGGUUCAUGACUCCGCUGCCAUACAUCUGUUCGCCGCCACCGGUCCCGUCCUGUUAUUCAGACCGUCGUAGCCGCACUCCGUCAUCGGUUUAGCUCCAUCACCACGUUACCCUGUCGUGACCAUCACCUCAUCAUUCAGGCCGCGACCAUAGUUGCUGCUUUGAUUCGUUUCCGUUCGAUCGUUAGAGGACUUUUAUUGUUUAUUUCCGGCGGCUCAGUUCGUAAACGAAGGUUCAUGUACUAUUUGAGGACGACUUGAUUGUUUUUGUCUUGGUUGCUAAUAAGGUACGGAUUCUGUUUUCUUUUCAUCAUAGUAUUUUUUAUUCAAAUCCGUUACUUUGUAGUACGGAUGUUUUCGUCAGUAGUUUCCGUUUCGCAUUGUCAUAUGACUAGUGUAUAUUGUAGCAUGCAAUAGACCUUAUAUCUUGUGCUCAUUAUUGCAUGUUCCCUUUAGACUAAUGUCAAGAUACAUUUAUUUUUAUACGGAUUUGUACUCUGUCACCCGAGCAAUUAUAAGUUACUUGUCGUUGGGGCGUC